GUGCUUGCUUCAGCAGCACAUAUACUAAAAUUGAAACUAUACAAAGAUUAGCAUGGCCCCUGUGCAUGGAUGACACGCAAAAAAACAAAAUAAGAUGGUGUGUGU